AUACUUAGUUGGCAGGGGAGAUAGUAUGAUAAAGAAGGUAGUUUUCCUAGGGCAAGACAAUCCAGAUAUGCUGACUGAUCCCUGUGAUUUCUCCAAAUGUGAGGAACUCAACUGACUAAUUUGUGGUAGCGGGGAACUAAAACUCCCAC
rnacentral:snRNA from 1 species